GCGCUACUGAAGAGUUCCACAAUAGGACGAAAUGGUCGUCCAGUGC
rnacentral:hammerhead_ribozyme from 1 species